rnacentral:tRNA from 2 species
GCGAGCGUGGUUCAGCGGUAAAACAUCUCCUUGCCAAGGAGAAGAUGCGGGUUCGA